GGAGGGAUGUCCGAGCGGCUUAAGGAGACGGUCUUGAAAAUCGUUGACCGAAAGGUCCGGGGGUUCGAAUCCCUCUCCCUCCGCCA
rnacentral:tRNA from 1 species